UCCUCGUAAACGACAAGCAAUCUGAUC
rnacentral:sRNA from 1 species